CCUACGGGGAGCAGCAGUGAGGAAUAUUGGUCAAUGGACGAGAGUCUGAACCAGCCAAGUAGCGUGAAGGAUGACUGCCCUAUGGGUUGUAAACUUCUUUUAUAAAGGAAUAAAACGAGGCACGUGUGCCGUUUUGCAUGUACUUUAUGAAUAAGGAGCGGCUAACUCCGUGCCAGCAGCCGCGGUAAUACGGAGGAUCCGAGCGUUAUCCGGAUUUAUUGGGUUUAAAGGGAGCGUAGAUGGGUUGUUAAGUCAGUUGUGAAAGUUUGCGGCUCAACCGUAAAAUUGCAAUUGAUACUGGCAGUCUUGAGUACAGUUGAGGUAGGCGGAAUUCGUGGUGUAGCGGUGAAAUGCUUAGAUAUCACGAAGAACCCCGAUUGCGAAGGCAGCUUACUAAACUGUGACUGACAUUGAUGCUCGAAAGUGUGGGUAUCAAACAGGAUUAGAUACCCUUGUAGUC
rnacentral:rRNA from 1 species